rnacentral:rRNA from 1 species
UACGAAGGGGGCUAGCGUUGUUCGGAAUUACUGGGCGUAAAGCGCAUGUAGGCGGACUGAUAAGUCAGGGGUGAAAUCCCGGGGCUCAACCCCGGAACUGCCUUUGAUACUGUCAGUCUAGAGUUCGAGAGAGGUGAGUGGAAUUCCGAGUGUAGAGGUGAAAUUCGUAGAUAUUCGGAGGAACACCAGUGGCGAAGGCGGCUCACUGGCUCGAUACUGACGCUGAGGUGCGAAAGCGUGGGGAGCAAACAGG